UGGGGCUACGGUAAGGUUUAAGGUUUUUGGCGUUAGAGUUAAAAUCAGUGUCCAAAACCUUUUUAGGAACUCUUUUCCAACCUUUUGGAGUUAGUUACACCAAAAAAAAAAGAAAAAUGAAAAAAAGAUAUUUUAGGUUUUCGGGCUUCCUGAAGGUAAUACCCGGGCCUUAGGUUAUGGGGCUAGGGAAAGGUUUAAGGUUUUUGGCGAUAGGGUUAAAAUCACUGUCCAAAACCUUUGUAGGAACUCUUUUCCAACCUUUUGGAGAUAGUUAGACCAAAAAAAAUGUAAAAAGAAAAAAAAAUAUUUGGGGUGUUCAGGCUUCCUGAAGGUAAUACCCGGGUAAUAGGUUAUGGGGCUAGGGUAAGGUUUAGGGUUUUUGGCGUUAGGGUUAAAAUCACUGUCCAAAAUUUUUGAAGGAACAUGUUUCAGACCUUUUGGAGUUAGUUAGACCAAAAAAAAAAGAAAAAUGAAAAAAAAAUAUUUGGGGUUUUUGGUUUCCCUGAAGGUAAUACCCGGGUAUUAGGUUUUGGGGCUAGGGUAAGGUUUAAGGUUUUUGGCGUUAGGGUUAAAAUCACUGUCCAAAACCUUUGUAGGAACAAGUUUCAAACCUUUUGGAGUUAGUUAGACCAAAAAAAAACGAAAAAUGAAAAAAAAAUGUUUGGGGUGUUAAGGCUUCCUUUAGGUAAUACCCGGGUAAUAGGUUAUGGGGCUAGGGUAAGGUUUAAGGUUUUUGGCGUUAGGGUUAAAAUCACAGUCCAAAACCUUUGUUGGAACAAGUUUCAGACCUUCUGGAGUUAGUUACACCAAAAAAAAAGGAAAAUGAAAAAAAAUUUUUGGGGGUGUUCGGGUUUCCUGAAGGUAAUACCCGGGUAUUAGGUUAUGGGGCUUGGGUAAGGUUUAAGGUUUAAGGUUUUUGGCGUUAGGGUUAAAAUCACUGUCCAAAACCUUUGUUGGAACAAGUUUCAGACCUUUUGGAGUUGGUUACACCAAGAAAAAAUGUAAAAUGAAAAAAAAAUAUUUGGGAUUUUUGGGCUUCCUGAAGGUAAUACCCGGGUAUUAGGUUUUGGGGCUAGGGUAAGGUUUAAGGUUUUUGGCGUUAGGGUUAAAAUCACUGUCCAAAACCUUUGUAGGAACAAGUUUCAAACCUUUUGGAGUUAGUUAGACCAAAAAAAAUGAAAAAUGAAAAAAAAAAUGUUUGGGGUGUUAAGGCUUCCUUUAGGUAAUACCCGGGUAUUAGGUUAUGGGGCUAGGGUAAGUUUUAAGGUUUUUGGCGUUAGAGUUAAAAUCACUGUCCAAAACCUUUGUUGGAACAAGUUUCAAACGUUUUAGAGUUAGUUAGACCAAAAAAAAAAAGAAAAAUGAAAAAAAAAAAUUGGGGUGUUUUCGGGCUUCCUGAAGGUAAUACCCGGGUAUUAGGUUAUGGGGCUUUGGAAAGGUUUAAGGUUUUUGGCGUUAGGGUUAAAAUCACUGUCCAAAACCUUUUGGAGUUAGUUAAACCAAAAAAAAGUGAAAAAUGAAAAAAAAAUGUUUGGGGUGUUCGGGCUUCCUGAAGGUAGUAUUAGGUAAUGGGGCUAGGGAAAGGUUUAAGAUUUUUGGCAUUAGGGUAAAAAUCACUGUCCAAAACCUUUGUAGGAACUCUUUUCAAACCUUUUGGAGUUAGUUAGACAAAAAAAAAAAAUGAAAAAUGAAAAAAAAAAAAAAUGUUUGGGGUGUUAAGGCUUCCUUAAGGUAAUACCCGGGUAUUAGGUUAUGGGGCUAGGGUAAGGUUUAAGGUUUUUGGCGUUAGGGUUAAAAUCACUGUCCAAAACCUUUGUUGGAACAAGUUUCAAACCUUUUGGAGUUAGUUAGACCAAAAAAAAAAAGAUAAAUGAAAAAAAAAAUAUUUGGGGUUUUCGGGCUUCCUGAAGGUAUUACCCGGGUAUUAGAUUAUGGGGCUAGGGAAAGGUUUAAGGUUUUUGGCGUUAGGGUUAAAAUCACUGUCCAAAACAUUUUUAGGAACAUGUUUCAGACUUUUUGGAGUUGGUUACACCAAGAAAAGAUGUAAAAUGAAAAAAUAUAUAUUUUGGGUGUUCGGGCUUCCUGAAGGUAUUACCCGGGUAUUAGAUUAUGGGGCUAGGGAAAGGUUUAAGGUUUUUGGCGUUAGGGUUAAAAUCACUGUCCAAAACAUUUUUAGGAACAUGUUUCAGACCUUUUGGAGUUGGUUACACCCCAAAAAAAUGUAAAAUGAAAAAAAAUAUAUUUGGGGUGUUAAGGCUUCCUUUAGUUAAUACCCGGGUAUUAGGUUAUGGGGCUAGGGUAAGGUUUAAGGUUUUUGGCGUUAGGGUUAAAAUCACUGUCCAAAACCUUUGUUGGAACAAGUUUCAGACCUUCUGGAGUUAGUUACACCAAAAAAAAAUGUAAAAUGAAAAAAAAAUUUUUGGGGUGUUCGGGUUUCCUAAAGGUAAUACCCGGGUAUUAGGUUAUGGGGCUUGGGUAAGGUUUAAGGUUUAAGGUUUUUGGCGUUAGGGUUAAAAUCACUGUCCAAAACCUUUGUAGGGACAAGUUAAAACCUUUUAGAGUUAGUUAGACCAAAAAAAAAAUGAUAAAUGAAAAAAAAAAUGUUUGGGGUGUUAAGGCUUCCUUUAGGUAAUACCCUGGUAUUAGGUUAUGGGGCUACGGUAAGGUUUAAGGUUUUUGGCGUUAGAGUUAAAAUCACUGUCCAAAACCUUUUUAGGAACUCUUUUCCAACCUUUUGGAGUUAGUUACACCAAAAAAAAAAGAAAAAUAAAAAAAAGAUAUUUUGGGUUUUCGGGCUUCCUGAAGGUAAUACCCGGGUAUUAGGUUAUGGGGCUUGGGUAAGGUUUAAGGUUUAAGGUUUUUGGCGUUAGGGUUAAAAUCACUGUCCAAAACCUUUGUUGGAACAAGUUUCAGACCUAUUGGAGUUGGUUACACCAAGAAAAAAUGAAAAAUGAAAAAAAAAUGUGUGGGGUGUUAGGGCUUCCUUUAGGUAAUACCCUCGUAUUGGGUUACGAGGGUAGGGUAAGGUUUAAGGUAUUUGCGGUUAGGGUAAAAUCACUGUCCAAAACUUUUUUAGGAACAUGUUUCAGACCUUCUGGAGUUAGUUAGACCAAAAAAAAAAAACGAAAAAUGAAAAAGAAAAUGUUUGAGGUGUUAGGGCUUCCUUUAGGUAAUACCAGUAUUAGGUCACGGGGCUAGGGUAAGGUUAAAGGAUUUUGGGGUUAUGGUUAAAAUCACUGUCGUAGUCCUUGUUAGGAACUUGUUUCAGACCUUUUGUAGUGAGUUAGACCAAAAUAAAUGUAAAAUGAAAAAUAAUGUGUGGGGUGUGAGGGCUUCCUUUAGGUAAUAGUCGGGUAUUGGGUUACAGGGCUAGGGUAAGGUUCAAGGUUUUUGCGGUAAGGGUUAAGAUCACUGUCCAAGACUUUUUAAGGAACAUGUUUCAAACCUUUUGGAGUUAGUUAGACCAAAAUAAAAACGAAAAAUGAAAAAAAAAAUGCUUGGGGUGUUAGGGCUUCCUUUAGAAAAUACUCGGGCAUUGGCUUACGGGGCUAGGGUAAGGUUUAAGGUUUUUGGCGUUAGGGUUAAAAUCACUGUCCAAAACCUUUUUUAGGAACAUGUUUCAGACCUUUUGGAGUUAGUUAGACCAAAAAAAAAAUUUAAAUGUCAAAAAAAAAAAUUUUCGGGGUUGUCAGGGCUUACUUUAGGUAAUUGGGUUACGGGGCUAGGGUUAUGGUUAGGGUUUUCGGAUAAGCGUUAAAAUCACUGUCCAAAAACCUUUGAGGAACAUGUUUCAAACCUUUUGGAGUUAGAUAGACCAAAAAAAAAAGAAAAACGAAAAAAAAAAAUUGGGGGGUGAUAGGGCUUCCUUUAGGUAAUUGGGUUAAGGGUCUAGGGCAGGGGUCUUCAUAUAAAUUUUCAGUGGGUCCACCUGAAUGAAAUGCUUGCAGGCCUGGGUCCAGGGAUUUUUAUUUAUUUAUUUUUUUACAGUGCAUUACUCUUUUGAAAUAUUCACUUCAUUUGUAUUGCCAAUAACUGCCUACUUUCAAUUGGCUGUGUGCUUCCUGCGGGUAAAAUGAAUGCAAAUGACUCGGUCCACUCGCCAUAAAACACCCUGUUCUCAUUCUCUACCUUUCGUGGUUUUGAGGCCGACAUGUUUAGCUGCUGCUACAACUUUCUCCUCAGUCUGCCGCCUGACAGUUUUCAACAUCGGGAUUGCUUGGUUAUUUUCGUGUGUCGAGUAGGCUAAGAGGUCUGAUUUGAUUGACAAGUCAAGCAAGUAAGCAAGUGAUGUAAUGCCUUGCUGAAAUUGCAGGUGCAGUUUACCAGGCAGAAAGCAAGAGAGUAAGGCUGCACGAUAUUGGAAAAAACUAACAUUGCGAUUUUUUUCAACCCUGCGAUAUAUAUUGCGAUAUUAAAAAUAUAGGAAUUUUCACCAGAUGACCUGAAUAGCAUUUAAUGUUACACUGCACUGCUGAAGUCUUGAGGACAGUUAACCUGCACUGAUCUUACCUCUUUUUGUGAAUGUUAGAAUGGCUUCUGUCUGUCUCAGAGAUAUUUUUAGCUUUUAUUGUUCUCGGACGUUAUUGUGGCGACAGAUGAACACAGAACACGUGUUUUGGUCAACAUCAUCCUUCUUUUAAUAGAAAUAAUUCCAGAUAACUGACUUUCAUUUUCUUUUUGGCAACAAAUCUUAAUUUUCGGUGGUUUUCUCUUGUUCAUUGCUCAUUUUGCAAUCGUUGUUGUUGUUGUUGUUGUUAGCGGUGUUGUGCCGAGAAACGCAUGUCCUCCGAGAAUUGCAUGCACCUCGCAAAACGCGCACCGCUUAUAGUAGAGUGGUCCAUGGAAAUAUACAUUUUAAAACCCAUACAGUUCUUAUUUGUUGGGCUUAACAGUCAGUAAAGUUCCCAAAGUAAUUCUCAGCGGACACGCGUCUCCCUCCAUGUGCAGAACAUGUGCAGGGGUGGGUUUCCUCCUCUCUGAUUUUGAUAGACAGCUGGCAGGGUAGUCUGAUUGGCAACUGAGAACUGAGUCUGAUUGGCAACUGAGUAAAGGACAAAGGUGAUUGGUGGAUCGCUACACAGCACAUGCAGAGUCACAUGCAGUGUAUCUCAGUCAGCUACCCUUGAAAUUAACCGAGUUCAUUCACUUCCGACUAUCGCACACACGUAUAUCGUGCAGGCCUAUAAGAGAGAAAAAAACAUACAUUUUUCUGCGGUAGGCUCGGGUCCGUAUUGGACUCUUUCCCGGUCCGGAAGUGGACCGCGGUCCGCCAUAUGGAGACCACUGGUCUAGGGUAAGGUUUAAUGUUUUUGGGGUUAGGGUUAAAAUAACUGUCCAAAACUUUUUAAGGAACAUGUUUCAGACCUUUUGGAGUUAGUUAGACCAAAAAAAAACGAAAAAUAAAAAAAAAUGCUUGGGGUGUUCGGGUUUCCUUUAGAUAACACUCUUGACUCGAGCGCCCUGAGAGUGGCAGCAAGUCACAUCAGCUCCUCACAGACUUUACGUUUUUGCCUUCUUAUUGUUGUUUUUUGGCACCUUUUUUGUCUUUCUUUUUUUCAGCAGUGUUGUGUCUUGCAUAUUCCAACCAUGGAUGUGCAUUUCAUGACUCUUUUACUUUGUUUUCUUUUACUUUUCGGAAUUUUUAAGUCCGCGACCGGCGACCCAUUAAGCGGCCCCAUUGUUUACAGCCGUGAACAGCUGUUGGCGCUGCGCCAAGCCCGGCCACCUUUCUGGGAGAGACCGGACAUCCCCGCUAAGCUCCGCAGGAGAAGAAGAGGAUGCAGGGCUGGAGUUCAGCAUCGGGCAAAGCGGAGACGUUAUAAACCAACUUUCCCGUCCAUCAUCAUGGGAAACGUGAGGUCUCUCCCCAACAAGAUGGAAGAGCUCACAGCGCUGACUAGGCUGCAAUGGGAGUAUCGUGAGUGCAGCCUCAUGAUGUUCACGGAGUCAUGGCUGAACGAACUGACUCCGGACCCGCUCGGACCAGAGCGUGAGGGAGAGUGGUAAGAAGAAAGGAGGCGGGAUAGCGGUGUAUGUGAAUGAGAGAUGGUGUAAUGCUGGGCACAUCAGUGUUAAAGAGCAGCUCUGCUCUAAGGACAUUGAGCUGCUGGCUGUGAGUUUGCAUCCAUUUAACCUGCCGAGGGAGUUUUCGCACGUCAUCACAUUAACUGUUUACAUCCCCCCCUCGGCUGAUGCUGCUGCAGCCUGUGAACUCCUCCAUAGUGAAGUGUCCAAGCCACAAACAUCACACCCUCAGUCUCUGAUCAUCAUCUCUGGAGACUUUAAUCAUGCAUCGCUGUCCUCCAAUCUCCCUACCUUCAGCCAGUAUGUAAACUGCCCAACAAGAGACAAUAAAACUUUGGACUUACUGUAUGCAAACACCAAGGAUGCAUACACCUCCUCCCCCUCCCCCCGCUGGGCCGCUGAGAUCACAACCUGGUGAGACUGCAGCCCAUUUACAUACCUAUGGUGAAGAAACAACCCCCCACCAUCAGGUAUGUUAAGAGGUGGUCUGAGGAGGCCACUGAGGCGCUGCAGGACUGUUUUGAGACCACAGACUGGGAUGUACUGUGCAGCCCACAUGGUGAUGACAUCGACACCAUGACAGACUGUAUCACGGACUAUAUAAACUUCUGUGUGGAGAACACCGUACCCACCAGGAAAGUACGGUGUUUCUCCAACAGCAAACCCUGGGUGACCCCGGAACUUAAAGUCCUCCUGAAGGAGAAGAGGAGGGUCUUUAAAUCUGGGGACAAGGAGGAGCUGAGGAGGGUGCAGAAGGACCUGAAGAAGAACAUCAGAGAGGGAAAGGCCAGCUACAAGACCAAGAUGGAAAACCUUUUGCAACAGAACAACGCAAGGGAGGUCUGGAGAGGCCUGAAAUCCAUCUCAGUUCAUAGCAGGGGCCAUGAGAGGGGACCUGAAGUAGGAGACAGGGAGUGGGCCAACGAGCUGAAUCUGUUCUUCACUAGAUUUGACCCUGCUCCCACUCCUCCCCCGACUCAUCAAACCAACGUCCCGUCUGCUGCUUCUUCUUCACACCACCUCAGUCCCAUGGUAUCGGCAUCAUCAACCCCCCUCCACUCAUCCAACACCACCCCCUCCAGCACCAACCCCAGCCUCUCCAUAACAGCUGACCAGGUGAGAAUUGAGCUGAGGAAGAUGAAGCCAAGGAAAGCCACAGGUCCUGACGGCAUCAGCUCCAGACUCCUGAAGGAUUGUGCAGACCAGCUCUGUGAGGUGCUACUUCACAUCUUCAGCUUGAGCCUGAGUCUGGAGAGGGUCCCAACACUGUGGAAGACUUCCUGCGUGAUUCCUGUCCCCAAGACAGCACACCCCAGGGAGCCCAACCACUUCAGACCUGUGGCCCUCACUUCUCACCUGAAGAAGACUCUGGAGAGGAUCAUGCUGAGGAACCUCGAUCCCCUAGUGAGCUCUCAUCUGGAUCCUCUGCAGUUUGCCUACCAGCCAAACAUCGGGGUGGACGACGCAGUCAUCUACCUGCUGCAGAGGUCCAUGGCCCACUUGGAGAAUACCAGCAGCACUGUGAGGGUCGUGUUUUUUAACUUCUCCAGUGCUUUCAACACUAUCCAGCCUUCACUGCUCAGGGGGAAGCUCGAGCGGGCGGGAAUGGACUGUCACCGAGCCGCAUGGACCGUGGACUACCUCACCGACAGACCACAGUUUGUGAGGCUUCAGAACUGUGUAUCGGACAUGGCGGUCUGCAGCACGGGGGCUCCACAGGGGACAGUGCUCUCCCCCUUCCUCUUCACCCUGUACACCUCGGACUUCAGCUACAACUCUGGGAGCUGUCACCUACAGAAGUUCUCUGAUGACACAGCCAUCGUCGGAUGUGUAUCAUCAGGGGAUGAGCGGGAAUACAGGACUGUCAUCACUGACUUUGUCAACUGGUGUGGCACAAACCACCUCCAGCUCAACGCCAGUAGGACAAAGGAGAUGGUCGUGGAUUUCCGCAGGAGGGGGACACCUCAGACUGUUCCAGUAAACAUCCGGGGUCUGGACAUCGAGAUGGUGGAGUCCUACAGAUUACUGGGUGUCCACCUCAACAACAAACUGGACUGGUCAACCAACACAGACGUCCUUUACAAGAAGGGCCAAAGUUGUCUCCACCUGCUGAGGAGACUGAGGUCCUUUGGAGUGUGCAGGACUCUGCUCAGGACUUUCUAUGACUCUGUGGUAGCAUCUGCACUUUUCUAUGCAGUGGUCUGCUGGGGGGCAGGGAGCACUGAGAGGGACAGGAAGAGACUGAACAGACUGGUCAGGAGGGCCAGUUCUGUCCUGGACUUCUCCUUGGACUCCCUGGAGGAGGUGGGUGAGAGGAGGAUGUUAGCAAAGCUUGUAUCCAUCAUGGACACCCACUGCACUAGACUGUGGGGGCCUUAAUCAGCUCCUUCAGCAGCAGACUUAGACUUCCACCUUGCAAGACGGAGCGCUACCGCAGGUCAUUCCUCCCUUCAAUGCAAUAAGAUUUUACAACGAACUGUAAUAUAACUGGACUCACACCACCACCUUUUUUUUCUGGUACUUAAAUUGUUUGUAUUGUAUAUAGUUUUAUUUUCUUUUCCCUUUUUCAUUUUUCUAAAUUUUUCCUUAAUUAUUACAUUUAAGUUCUUAAUAUUACCAUCUUUACUUUUAUUACUGCAUUUUUGCACUCUUUGUCUGUGAUGUCUGUGUGCACACAAUGCACAUAUAAUUAUUACAAAUUAACCUACACAAAAACACAAAAUGUUAUAUAAAAAAGAGAAAAUUUAUAAGCAACAGCAAUUCUAUAUCUUAUCUGAUGAAUGUGUUUGGCACGCGUAUGGACACCCAACCUGACUGAAUAAACACAGAUGAUACAGCAUUAAAUUCAAUACCCAAUGGUCACACAUAAUCAAUUAACAAGAUAAUCCCCCCCCCCUUCUCUCACGACGAUUUAUUUUAGUGAUCAAAUAAGUUAUUUAUAUCAAAAAUGUGAACGAAACAAUAAAAGAUACUUUCAAAAUAACCCGUUAAUCUAAUUUUUUCACAUCCUCAGAUGCUGUGAAUAAUUUAUCUGGAGUAAGGCCUACAUACAAGUAUUAUAAUAUUUAGUUGCAUGAGCGAAGAUCAUUUCACAUGCAAAUAUUAGUGAAAGAGAAAGGUAUGCCAUGGAGCAUGAUGGGUCCUUUACACACAGGUGGUUCUGAUUUUAAUGCUGUUAGGUAUGGUAUUAGUUUAUGUUGUGAUCUGUGCGCGCAACCCACCUUGGUCACAGGAGUUUAAAUGUAUGCAACUUGGUGUGAGUGUCUUUAUUUGUGGAAAAGGAUGUUUGUCUUACCAGUGGGUACAACCUUGCACACACAAAACCCUUCUACUUAUUUGAUAAAGUGUGGAGGACACAAUGCCCUCCACAGUGCUACGAGCAACACUUGUUGAGAGGCUGCUUUCUGUUGCCACUGUGUGGCAUUGCUGUCUUCAGCCAUCUCUUCAACUACUUCAUGAAAUUUACUGUAUGCCCUGCCAGUGGUGGAUUGAAAGGUGAGAAGAGGUGCUGAUGUGAUUGGUAAAAGGUGGACUCAGCUAUGUUGAACCCACUUCCCAUCUCUCUUUACUACUUAAAUUGCUGGUAGAAAGUUUUUUGUUUUUUUUUUGCAUGUAGUCGAGUUAGAUGCAUUAAUUAUUUCUUCAUAGCAAACAUUCAGUGACAAUGAGUUUACGAAAAAAGACAGUCUCAACUGGAAUGGAAUUGUUGCAAUGGCUUUAUUUAUGUCAAAAAUUCUGCAAGCCAGCAAGAAAAAAAAAUCAGUGUGGAAACCAACAGAAAAAUGUGCAAAAGAAAUAUGUGGUAUUAUACUAUUGUAAGGAAAAAAGACCCUAAUCUGCCCAGUCUUCUGCAUUGGGCCACAUGGCCUCAUCAACAUCACACCAGACCAACUCCUCUCUGUGGGCAACUCUUCUUUGUUCUGCCAUUCUCUAUUGUCUUGUUUCUUUAGCCCCAAACCAAC